rnacentral:hammerhead_ribozyme from 1 species
AUCUACAUGACGAGUCCCAAAGAGGACGAAAUGCGCGUUAUCCUGGAU